GACGUAGGGCGCAAGCGUUGUCCGGAUUUAUUGGGCGUAAAGAGCUCGUAGGCGGCCUGUCGCGUCGACCGUGAAAACCCGCAGCUCAACUGCGGGCUUGCGGUCGAUACGGGCAGGCUGGAGUUCGGUAGGGGAGACUGGAAUUCCUGGUGUAGCGGUGAAAUGCGCAGAUAUCAGGAGGAACACCGGUGGCGAAGGCGGGUCUCUGGGCCGAUACUGACGCUGAGGCACGAAAGCCAGGGGAGCAAACGGG
rnacentral:rRNA from 1 species